rnacentral:rRNA from 1 species
GGUGGAGCAUGUGGUUUAAUUCGAUGCAACGCGAAGAACCUUACCUACUCUUGACAUCCACAGAACUUAGCAGAGAUGCUUCGGUGCCUUCGGGAACUGUGAGACAGGUGCUGCAUGGCUGUCGUCAGCUCGUGUUGUGAAAUGUUGGGUUAAGUCCCGCAACGAGCGCAACCCUUAUCCUUUGUUGCCAGCACGUAAUGGUGGGAACUCAAGGGAGACUGCCGGUGACAAACCGGAGGAAGGUGGGGAUGACGUCAAGUCAUCAUGGCCCUUACGAGUAGGGCUACACACGUGCUACAAUGGCAGAUACAAAGUGAAGCGAACUCGCGAGAGCAAGCGGACCACAUAAAGUCUGUCGUAGUCCGGAUUGGAGUCUGCAACUCGACUCCANGAAGUCGGAAUCGC